rnacentral:rRNA from 1 species
UACAGAGGGCGCGAGCGUUGUCCGGAAUCACUGGGCGUAAAGGGCGCGUAGGUGGCCACCAUAAGGCCGCGGUGAAAGUUCGGGGGCUCAACCCCGGAUCGGCCGCGGCGACUGUGGGGCUCGGGUACUGUAGAGGCAGAUGGAAUUCCGGGUGUAGCGGUGGAAUGCGUAGAGAUCCGGAAGAACACCAGUGGCGAAGGCGGUCUGCUGGGCAGUGGGCUCGAAAGGGCCCUUUAACCGACACUGAGGCGCGACAGCGUGGGGAGCAAACAGG